rnacentral:rRNA from 1 species
UACGAAGGGUGCAAGCGUUAAUCGGAAUUACUGGGCGUAAAGCGCGCGUAGGUGGUUCAGUAAGUUGGAAGUGAAAUCCCCGGGCUCAACCUGGGAACUGCUUUCAAAACUGCUGAGCUAGAGUAGGGUAGAGGGUGGUGGAAUUUCAUGUGUAGCGGUGAAAUGCGUAGAUAUAGGAAGGAACACCAGUGGCGAAGGCGACGACCUGGACUGAUACUGACACUGCGGUGCGAAAGCGUGGGGAGCAAACAGG